UCAAACGGAGUCGGCUUACCCCGCCCACCUCCACCAUCCCCCGUCGCCCAGCCCAGCCCUUUCAGGGAAGGCCUUUCCCGGGGGGAUACCAGGGAAGGGCCACACGAAACCCCAGAGGCAGGGGCAGAGUCUAGGAAUUUUCAUCAGGCGCCGGUGCCCCGACGCCCCAUCGUUAAAUGCAUCAACAUCCCCCUUGGUUUGAAAUAAAUUCUUGAGUGUGCACACCCUUA